UACGUCCUUAGUGUAAUGGUAGCACAGGAGUCUCCAAAACUUCUAGUCUGGGUUCAAAUCCUAGAGGGCGUGCCAU
rnacentral:tRNA from 1 species